CACGUAGGGUGCGAGCGUUUGUCCGGAAUUAUUGGGCGUAAAGAGCUCGUAGGCGGUGUGUCGCGUCGGCCGUGAAAACCUGCAGCUUAACUGUGGGCUUGCGGUCGAUACGGGCAUCACUGGAGUUCGGCAGGGGAGACUGGAAUUCCUGGUGUAGCGGUGAAAUGCGCAGAUAUCAGGAGGAACACCGGUGGCGAAGGCGGGUCUCUGGGCCGAUACUGACGCUGAGGAGCGAAAGCUAGGGGAGCAAACGGG
rnacentral:rRNA from 1 species